rnacentral:lncRNA from 1 species
ACACACAAAAUGAGACUAAGCUACUACUUCUUAUUUCUUAUAUCUCUCUUCUUCUAUUACUCCUUUUUUGCUUUGCUUUUGUCAUAUCACUCCAUCUCUUUCUUUCCUAGCUUUGUUGUUCAAGUUUUAAUAUAUUUAUCUUUAUUUUAUAACAAUUAUCAGCACGAGUCUCUAACCAAUUCAGAUAACUUUUAAAUUUUCUUUUUCAUUGAACAUACAAAGAAAUCAAAAGGUAUAUGUUACUAGUUAUCUAGUCUUUGUCCUUACAUCUCAUUUACGGAAAGGUAUAAAUUUUAUUUUCUCAACUCCAAAUAGUUCUUCACUAAUGAUUGGUUAUUGCCCUUGUCAACUGUCAAGACUCAAGAUUAUUAUAGAUGAGAUGAUAAAUAUUUCACAUUAGAAGAUGUUAUGGAAAUAAAUGAUUUAACUAUACUAAGUCCAAUAUAUAUAUGUUUGAUUUUUUGCUUCAACCGUUAAGAAUCAAGGUAUUCUGGAACUCAAGUUCAUCUUACAAUAUUAAUAUUACCACGGUAAGGAAACAUUUUUUUGAUAACUUUUGUUACUCAUUAUUUGCUUAUAGCCUCUUCAUUUAUAAUUUUCUUGCCUUAAUUUAUUGAACUAACCAUAGAUGUAAGAAGAAAAAUAUAAAUUUAAAAUUGCCUUCAUAAUUUUGUGCUUGUUUAAAUUUGAUAGACUAUCAUAUGGAAUAUGAAAUUGUAUUACUUAUUAUGCUAAAAAAAUUCUGAUUUCUAGAACAAGUUAUUUAGAUGUAAAUGUUUGUUUCUCAUUUGAAUGGAUCAUGAACUACUAAUUAUAUUAAUGAUGAAUCUAUUAGUUUAUCGUGAAUUCAUCUUAUGAUCUUUUGUCUUGUUAAUUUAAUUGAUGAUUUUGAUGAGAAUUAAUUUCUAAAACAUAUAGUAUCUAUAAGAAGCUGGGUUUAUAUACAAAAUGCAAUUAUGUAUAUUUCAAGAUAGUAAGAUAGUAUUUUUAAGGAGAAGCACAUGUUAGUAGUGAUGGAAUUUGGAGCAAUUUUUACCUACUAUAAUGUUUAAGUUGAAAUAUAUAUAUUUCUACAUCUUGACCUUUCUAUUUGUCAUCAAGAUGUGGGUUUAAUAUCCUAUUUCUCAUGGAUAACAAAAAUCCUAAACAAUUUGGAAGUUUCAAUUGCUCAUUUUUCUUGGAAAAUUUUGAUAAUGAUAACUACAUAUUUUUCUAAGAUAAACAAUAUUUUUGUUGUAGAUAAAUUCAAUAUUUAUGUGUAUAAUUAUAAAGUAGUAAUAAUGUUAAAGGCUCUACGGUGAGUCCAAUUGCAUUUUGACUUAUUAUGUCAAUGGUUAAAGGUAAGACGAUGAAUUCAAGUUUUAUCACAUCAAAAGGAUAAGACAUCGAUUACAGUUUUGAUGCACCAUGAUGAUAAGAUAUUGGAUUCAAGUCUCACUAAAUAUGGCCUACAAGCCUUUCUUAUAAAAAAAAAACUUCAUUUCAAAUUCUAAUGCAAUAUAUUGAUGAGAUAAUGAUGAAUGAGCAAAUUGAUGAGCUCUUGAUGAAAAAUUAUGAAAAACAUAUUUUUGCUCAAUUCUGUAAAAUGAAUGUGGUAGCAGUACAUGAUAAGUCUGAAAGAUGACAAAUCACUAUUGUGAUAAUUAUAAAAGAAAGAACAUUAUGAGUUCUCAAAAUGGCCUUUUAAAGAGUGAAGGUAAUUUUUGUCAACAAAAUGGUAUAAAAGGUCAUUAGAAACAUUUUUGUUAUAAGACCUAAUAAUUUGAUAAGUUUAUAAAUCCUCCAUCAAAGAAAAGGAUGAAAAAGUGGUGAAACACUUGACUUUCAAAAGUGAUGUCGAGGUAUGUCAUAUGAAUAUGAUAAAUUUCAAAGCAUGACAAUGAACUUCUAAUGAAAGGAAUUAUUAUGAAGUAUGUAUAUAUGAUUAUGCUCAAUUCUUUGAAGAGAAUGUGACUUGUGAUGAGUAUCAUUAAAAGUGGACCAUUCUUAAAAGUGAAUGUGUCAAGAGAUGAUGAAAAUUAUAAAUUAGGACAUAUUCAUGUAUGAUUUAAUAAAUACCACAACUCACCCCUAUGGGAGGUUAGAGAGAAAUAGAGAAAUUUAUUUUGGCAUAAAUGAUCAUUAGUCAAGUACUUUUAGUACAUCACAAAUACUAUGGUAUGUUUUAGUAUGAACUAUCGAAAUGGCAAAAGAAGGAAAUAAUUUCUUGCCACAAAGAUUUGUCAUUGGUUAUGUAUCUAUGUACGUCAGAAAUAAUUUUCAGAUAUUAAAUAAAAGGGAGGAGAUACUACUGACAAAAUUAAAUCAAGAAACAAAUUUUACUUGUAAUGAUUUUGACCAUGACAAUAAUGAUAUAAAUUUCUCCUUGAAAGAGAUGUUUACCACAUAAACAAUGUUAUGACAUAUGUGGUCGUAUUUAAUGUUAAUUAUGAGCUUUGGUGAGCUAUUGUGCUACUAUCCAAAGAAAUGAAAUUGCUCAUGAUAUUGAAAUUGUAGUAAGUCUCGAAAGAAACUUUUUAUGUUUCAAAAAAAUAGUCAAAGAAAAAAAAUUAUAUUGAGACUAUAAAAUAUGGAAAGAUUUAAGAUGUUCAUAUUAUUAUAAUCAAAGUGAGUUAUAAAUAUUUAUGUGAGAGAUUACUCAUGUUUUCAUAUUGUUUGUGGUAACUAAAUAUGGACAUGAUGAUGAAAUCACAUGCAAAAUAAAUUAGAAGUUUAUUGAAAUAAAUAUCAAUUGACAUGACCGGUUAAUGACCAUCCUGGUUCAAAUAUGAUACGAAAAUAAAUGAGAAUUCAUGUGGUUAUAUAUAUUGAAGAAAUAAUAAAUUCUUCAAAAAAUCUCUUGUGCUGUUUGUUCUCAUGAUAAAAUUAUCAUUGCACCAGCUAAGGUUGAGAUUAUAUCUCCUGAAAUUUUGAAAUGUAUAAAAAGGUGAAUAUGGGCCUGUUCACCUGCCAUGUGGACCAUUUACUAUUAUAUAGAUGCAUCUAUGUUAUGGUCACAUGGGCUUUAUUAUCAACUUGCAAUUUGAUUUUAGCAAAUGUUGUUUGCUCGAAUUGUUAAAUCAAGAGCACAUUUCAAAUUAUAAAAUUAUAUUGAUAAUGUUGGUUUAUAUCCAAGUGGUUUAAGCAGAAAUUAUAUGCCUCUAAUUAUAGCUAAACCAUUGGUAUGAGAACAAAACUCCCAAAAGAAAUUUGGUAUGAGAUGUGUUGUUUAGAGUGUAGCAACACUUGUACGUAUCAAGUCAACAAGGUUCCCCUAUCACAAUUGGUUCAGGGUCAGGAACCAAAUAAUUCUCAUCUAGAAAUUUAAAUGUGUGGUAUAUUAUUGCUCCACCAUUAGGUAAUGCACAAAGAUGAGUCUUCAAAUAAAGUUGGGUGAAUGUUAGAUUCUCUAACAUUAGGGGAAGAUAAGCAAUUGGAAAAUAAGUUAUACAUAAGGAAUUAUCAUUGGUAUGAUCUUCAUUAAAGAGAUAAUUUAAGUCAAUUGUCAGACGCAUUCGCUGAUCCUAUGUUAUAAUGCAGUUAUAAAUUCUCCCAUGAAAAGUCCUUGA